ACAGAUGACGGUGAUUAUGGUGUGAAGUUACGCAAUCUCAUUCGCUUUUUGGAAGAUGGCGAUAAGACAAAGAUUACGCUACGGUUUCGGGGUCGUGAAAUGGCCCAUCAAGAAAUCGGAGUCAGAAUGUUGGAGCGUUUGAAGUUGGACCUGCAAGAGCAUGGCCAAGUUGAACAGUUUCCGAAGAUGGAGGGCCGCCAAAUGGUGAUGGUGUUGGCCCCCAUUCGUAAGGCUAAGUAAGUAGCGAUUCAUUAGAAUCUGCUACUUGUUUAAGUAGGGCGGAGUCGCAAGGCGCUGCAUGUAAUAAGUGC
rnacentral:misc_RNA from 1 species